rnacentral:snRNA from 1 species
AUACCUUUCUCGGCCUUUUGGCUAAAAUCAAGUGUAUUAUCUGUUCUUAUCAGUUUAAUAUCUGAUAUGUGGGCCAUGUGCCCACUUCGAUAUUAAAUUUAUUUUUUGUGAGGGAGGGUCCACCACAGUGGCUUGCCACUGGGGCCUCGUGUGUCGCUUGGGCGUUGCACUACAGCCCGGGCCUGCGCACCCCAA